rnacentral:rRNA from 1 species
UACGUAGGGGGCGAGCGUUGUCCGGAAUCAUUGGGCGUAAAGCGCGUGUAGGCGGCCCGAUAAGUCCGCUGUGAAAGUCCAGGGCUCAACCCUGGGAUGCCGGUGGAUACUGUCGGGCUCGAGUCCGGAAGAGGAGAGUGGAAUUCCUGGUGUAGCGGUGAAAUGCGCAGAUAUCAGGAAGAACACCCGUGGCUAAGGCGGCUCUCUAGUACGGUACUGACGCUGAGACGCGAAAGCGUGGGGAGCGAACAGG